rnacentral:tRNA from 2 species
GCCGCCAUCGUCUAUCGGUUAGGACAAUGGGCCUUCAAUCCGUAAAGUGGGGUUCAACUCCCCAUGGCGGCACCA